AUCAGCAUGAAGUAGAACACAUCUGAAAGAUGUGUGGGCUGCCUGCACUCAACGUUGCGAUAAUUCAGUAGAGUGUAGCCUCAAUCGGUUUUUGCAGCUUCUGGGUGUCGUGUCGAACGAUCGCAGAACGAUUUUUUGUUCUUUUCCAACUCGAUUUUUAACUCCCUAGACUAGUAGGAUGUUCCAACGGGUGAAGCAACAGUGCUGACGGCAGAGUUUCAGUGUCAAUUUUUCAUGCCAUGAUCACUGGGGCGGAAACCAUUAUUACGUUGCCUUGGACAUCAAACUAAACCAUCUCAUUUUGGCUUUUUUCUAACAUCGAAAUCUCAGAAGGCCAGGACUAAGAUGGACGCAGCCUCCACAUGCAACCUUGCAUUUGAGGAACACCCAUAGAACGGUCAACUUACCCCAUACUCUAACCUGAAUGCAGGGAUCAUAAAACUUUAUCUUUUACCUUAAUUGUUAGAUUGGUGUUGAUACCAAACUUUUUUGUCUCGUCUACCAAGGAGAAAGUCAUGGGUUCUGCUGCUGAGGUUGUCAUAAAGCAUGCUUUUUCCAUUUGUUGCAUUGGGCAAUAUUAUCAAAAGAUUCUGAAAGAAAUAAGAUAAUUUUCAAAGCAUUAACAUGAAUAUGAAAGCAUUAAGUCAUUAAUGACCAUCUUUUAUUAUUGUUUAUUUAUAGUGUCUUUUAUUCUGCUUACCUGACUCAUGCAGAAUUCUGGCUUGAUGUUUGGUCCACCUGUUAGCUGGCUCUGGUGCUUGGUAGUCUUCUCAAACCUCUGAAUCAAGGCCACCAUGAGAGGCCUUCUGAAGACCAUCAUUCAUUACGCUUCAGAUCCAGUUGUCUUAACUAUGAGCCUACCACAAUCCCUGUGCACCAGCUAUGGAAACCAAAGUGCAAACUAGUGCAAACCAAACUUCUACCUCCACCUAUAGAACUGAACUGGAGUCUGUGAACUAAUGCUGUGUUCGAGACAACUGGAACAGCAAACAAAGUUGAGUAUCCGACCUCUCAACUUGGGACAGAUCGAUCAGCACCAACCUCAACGAGAUGCAUCAUUUGACAUUGCAGACAAGAUCCUUUCUCUUUUUAAUGCAGCACUUAAGGAUGAACCACCCUGAUCUACUAAGAUGCACAGAUUGAACUCUGGCCCAGCAUCAUCCCCACACCUCAUCUGCCAUCAGUUUAAUUUAAUGUCUGUCAAUUGCAAAUGCUAUUUAUUUCAGUUAUAUUACAACUUAAUGUUAACUUUAAUUGAGACUAGUAUUGUGUAAAGCUGGGGUUUCCAAACUUUUCAUUUCAAAACCUAUUAGACAAGUGUAAUCUAUUCUAGACCCACUAAAAUAUUUUUUAAUGGGGUAAAACACAUUUGUUCUCUUUCCGUGGAGUCAUUUUAUUUUCAUAAUAUUUCAUAAUGUAAAGCAGUGGUUCUUAACGUUAUUCCUCGAGGCCCAUUGCUCUGCACAUUUUGUAUGUCUCUUUUAUCUGACAGACUCAGUUCAGUUCAUUGAGAUCUCUUCUAAUGAGCUGAUGAUUUGAAUCAGGUGUGUUAAAUAAGAAGGACAUACAAAAUGUGCAGGGCAGUGGGCCUCGAGGAAUAACAUUAAGAACCACUGAUGUAAAGUAAAUACAAGUUUAUUUGCAAUACCAAAUAUUUUAUGGUAUAUUCUUUCAAAACCAUUGUCAUUGUUAAUUAUUAAUUUGGCCAAACUGUUGUUGCAUCAUUAAGGUGUGCAACACACCUUAACCUACUGUGUGACCGACAAGUGGGUCCUCCUGACCCACAGUUUAAAAUCCCCUGGUGUACUGAAUGUAUUGUAAUUAAAGUCGCAUCUAAGUCUUG